UGUGCAUUUAAAAUAUUAUUUAUUUGAUUACUUAAUUUGGUUUCAGAAUGAUUUUAAAGUUUACAGAUACAUCCACCCUACUGAAGAUCAUUUUGUAUGUUGCCUUCCUUUCCAGCCACUGCUUUCCAUUGACCCUAUGUCUGUUUAUGAUACUGCCACCUGGCAACACCACUUUGAUUUUUUUUUCAAAAUGUAUCUUUUUCAUUUGUGUGUGCUGCAUUUUGUCUGAGAGCCAUCUUAUUUCAACUAGCAUGAAUUGUGUCAAUAAGGAAAAGAUAAGCAAACAAAUCACAUGUCUGCCAUCCUUAUUCAUUUUGACUACUCCUCAGGGAAUAAGGUACUACUCAGCAUACAGGACAAAAGUGAUUAAAAAAAAGACUGGAAAAUACCAGGUUUGAAGGCCAGUUUUCAUACAUAGAUACAGACUUGGAUUUAGGACCCAACCUGCAGCCCUUAUGCACAUGAACACUGCCAUUCAAACUAGUGGGAGUCUGGCUUUAGUAAACAUUUCUGGAUCAGGCCCUUAGAGCACAAGGAUCUUUUGGAGUCAAAAGCUUAUGUGCAACAAUUUAUUGUUGAUCCAAAUUACAUCUACCUUGUCACGAGUACAAAUACAGUACGGCUGCAAACAUUUUCCAGGGUUGUAAAUCUAAAAUUCUUUUCCAGUGAGCAGACAUUAGUUCUUUCAACUACAUACAUGUUUUUAAUAGGACCAACUCAUACAGUCCUGAAUCUUUUGUCAGGCAAAAUGUCCAUUGGCUACAAUAAGAGUGAGGAUUUCGGAAUCUCGCCCUUUAGGAUUAAGGGACUUCUAUCUGCAUACCUCCAAGUGCCUGACAGAUUAACAAAUUAAGCCUCACAACACAACAACCCUGUUAGAAAGGUUGCGUGAGAGAAAAAAGGGGUAUUGCAGUUGUCCUACCCACAGUGUCAUCCACAGACCCCUGAGCCCAGGAAGAAGAUGGAAAGGGGGAGACCAGUGGGAGCUUCAUACCGAGACGUGUGUGUGUAAAUACAGAAGCCACUUGGCAGGGGAGGUGAGGAGAAAUAUUAAAGGGAAGCUGUGCUACGCAGAUUAGGCUAAAAGGAUCCCCCAAAAGAGGCUAGUACAAGUGGGUGGCCUGGAGACCACACCAGCACCCCCCAAAAUACUGUGGAUACCCUGGCGGACCACAAGACAGAAACUCCUGCUAAACAGCAAGGAGGAAGAGGGGAGGAGGCAGACAUGGGGACUCCAGCCAUGCCAUGAGCCAGGACCUGUUUGGUAGCCCUCAACAGUCCAGCCAGCCAAACAUGGAUGAGACCUAUGAAGGGGAAGGGA